rnacentral:rRNA from 1 species
AUUGGGCGUAAAGCGAGCGCAGGCGGUUAGAUAAGUCUGAAGUUAAAGGCUGUGGCUUAACCAUAGUACGCUUUGGAAACUGUUUAACUUGAGUGCAAGAGGGGAGAGUGGAAUUCCAUGUGUAGCGGUGAAAUGCGUAGAUAUAUGGAGGAACACCGGUGGCGAAAGCGGCUCUCUGGCUUGUAACUGACGCUGAGGCUCGAAAGCGUGGGGAGCAAACAGGAUUAGAUACCCUGGUAGUCCACGCCGUAAACGAUGAGUGCUAGGUGUUAGACCCUUUCCGGGGUUUAGUGCCGCAGCUAACGCAUUAAGCACUCCGCCUGGGGAGUACGACCGCAAGGUUGAAACUCAAAGGAAUUGACGGGGGCCCGCACAAGCGGUGGAGCAUGUGGUUUAAUUCGAUGCAACGCGAAGAACCUUACCUACUCUUGACAUCCAGAGAACUUUCCAGAGAUGGAUUGGUGCCUUCGGGAACUCUGAGACAGGUGCUGCAUGGCUGUCGUCAGCUCGUGUCGUGA